rnacentral:rRNA from 1 species
GGAUCAGUUGGUCGGUCGUGCCUCGGUACGUACUGGUCAAAUUGAUUCCUACCUUCUGACGAACCACGAUGUCAUUUAUUUGAUGUUAUGGGGAAUUAGGACUGUUACCUUGAAAAAAUUAGAGUGUUUAAAGCAAGCUUACGCUUGAAUACAUUAGCAUGGAAUAAUGAAAUAGGACAUCAGAUUCUAUUUUGUUGGUUUCUAGGAUCGAUGUA